GAUGAAGAACGCAGCGAAAUGCGAUAAUUAAUGUGAAUUGCAGAAUUCAGUGAAUCAUCGAGUCUUUGAACGCACAUUGCGCCCCCUGGUAUUCCGGGGGGCAUGCCUGUCCGAGCGUCAUUGCUGCCCUCAAGCCCGGCUUGUGUGUUGGGCCUCGUCCCCCCUCCGGGGGACGGGCCCGAAAGGCAGCGGCGGCACCGUGUCCGGUCCUCGAGCGUAUGGGGCUUUGUCACCCGCUCUGUAGGCCCGGCCGGCGCCUUAGCCGACGACACAAUCUUUUUUUUCAGGUUGACCUCGGAUCAGGUAGGGAUACCCGCUGAACUUAAGCAUAUCAAUAAACGGAGGA
rnacentral:misc_RNA from 1 species